CCUAAUAGGCAACUUUUAUUGUGUAAAAAUAGAAUGAAAACUUAAAGGGGAUAUUUGCCAAUUUGUAAAAGAUGUUUUGUUUUGAAUUUGAUCAGACUGAACCUGGUAUUCCAUAUUCUGAAUUUGAAAGGUGUUACCUAUUCAGGAUGUACCCCACCUCUCUCCAGAUGCCAGCUGGGAUUGUUUCCAGUAGCCCCUGGACCCUCAAAGGAAAAGCUGAAUAGAUGAUGGAAUGGAUGGACGAUGGAUCAAUGGAAGAUACUUGGGAGCUAGAACCCUCAGCUACAAGGAUCCUCUCCUGUGGAACCAGCUCUCAGUUUGGUUCAGGAGGCUUCACUACAUUGACGUCGAGGCAGAUGGCCGCCCACGUUGAGUCUGCUUCUGUUAGAGGUUUCUCCCAGUUAAUGAGGGACUUU